UUUUCUUCUUGAAAAAUAAUUUUGUAUUUUUCAGCCAGCAUAGAUACCUGCUAAGUAUUCCAAACCCACUGCAUUUUCUGCAAGCAUCCCCUGUGCUCCAUUUGGGGCCUGUGACUUCAUCACUGUUUACAUCUGGUUUUUUGUUUAGUUUAGUUUCAUUUUUGAGACAGAGUCUCUCUGUCACCAGGCUUCAGUGCAGUGGUGUGAUCUCACAUCACUGCAGCGUCCUCCUACUGCAUUCAAGCAAUUCUACUGCCUCAGCUUUUCGAAUAGCUGGGACUGAAGGUUCUCACCACCACCAUGCCGGGUUUCUUGUAGUUUUCAGUAAAGACAGGGUUUCACCAUGUUGGCCGGGAUGGUCUCAACCUCUUGCCUUCAUGAUCUGCCUGCCUCAGCCUCUGUAGAUGCUGGGAUUACAUGCGUAAGCCACCGCGCCCAGCCUACCCAUCUGGUUUUCUAAUGUCAACAAGUGAAUACAAAACCUGUGCCAACAGGACCCAGCAAGAUGUAAUCCUCAUGGUGUUUCUUUUUCUCUUAUUGCAGGAGAAGCCUGCGGCCCGGUAUCACCACUGGUCUGUUGAGGUCCUACAGGACCUCACCUUAGAAGACAUUGAGGAUGAUGAGAUGCCGUCUGACAUGGACAUCGGGACAGCCACAAAUGACCUCUGUAAGUAUUCUUUAUCUUUUAAACUGCUUUAUUCUCACAUAGUUGACAUGCAAAACAAUUCACUUAUUUAAAGUGGGUGAGGUAGUGUUGUUACUAUAUUUACAGGGUUGUGCAGCCAUUGUUACAAUCUAAGUUUAAAAUCUUUUUAUUCCCCCUCAGAGAAAUCCUAUAGCCAUUAGUAGUCACUUCUUUUUUUUCCCAAGGCCCACACCCCUGGCCCUAGGCAGCUGCUAAGCUACUUUCUGUUUUUCUAGAUUUGCCUUCUCUGGCAAUUUCUUUUUUUAAUUAAAUUUGAUUUUAAUUUUUGGGAUACAUGUGCAGGACGUACAGCUUUGUUACACAGCUAAAAUUGUGGCAUGGUUUGCUGCACCUGUCAACCCAUCACCCAGGUAUUAAUCUCCGCAUACAUUAGCUUUUUAUUCUGAUGCUCUCCCGUCCACUUCCCCCACAGUGUGUGCUGUUCCCCUCUCUAACAUUGUACACAUUCUAAUAUCACUUUCUUCCUAAUGACAAAUCUAAGUGAUAAGUCAGGGGGAAUUUUCUUGCUUGCAUUUCUCUGGAGAACCUCCCUAGCUUCAGGUUCCUGAUAGGUGUGAGGAUCUAGGGCAUGCUGUCAGAAACAGAUGUCUCCAUGAAGAACUCAGCUCUAGACAGGAGAAUCUUCAUCAUGCCCUAUUGAUGCUACUUUUGAAAUAGGUUUUUGUUUCCUUCUGAAAACCUUUACACACAGAGAGCCAAGGUAGGUGCUUUAAGUCAUAAUGAAUGUCAAG
rnacentral:lncRNA from 13 species